GUCCUGCCGUUGAUUGUUCGUGCUUAUGAUGAUAAUGAUGCUCGCAUACAAGAGGAAGUUCUGAGGAAAUCAGUUUCCCUUGCUAAGCAACUUGACACACAGUUAGUGAAACAAGCAAUUUUGCCUCGUGUUCAUGGUUUAGCUCUAAAGACAACAGUUGCUGCGGUUAGAGUCAAUGCUUUGCUGUGCUUUGGAGAAUUGGUUCAG
rnacentral:misc_RNA from 1 species